rnacentral:rRNA from 1 species
UGGGGAUAUUGCACAAUGGGCGAAAGCCUGAUGCAGCGACGCCGCGUGGGGGAUGAAGGCUUUCGGGUUGUAAACCUCUUUCGCUAUCGAACAAGGCCCGCUUAGGGUGGGUUGAGGGUAGGUGGAGAAGAAGCGCCGGCUAACUACGUGCCAGCAGCCGCGGUAAUACGUAGGGCGCGAGCGUUGUCCGGAAUUAUUGGGCGUAAAGGGCUUGUAGGCGGCUUGUUGCGCCUGCUGUGAAAACGCGGGGCUUAACUUCGCGCGUGCAGUGGGUACGGGCAGGCUUGAGUGUGGUAGGGGUGACUGGAAUUCCAGGUGUAGCGGUGGAAUGCGCAGAUAUCUGGAGGAACACCGAUGGCGAAGGCAGGUCACUGGGCCAUUACUGACGCUGAGGAGCGAAAGCAUGGGUAGCGAACAGG